AUUGAACGCUGGCGGCAUGCCUUACACAUGCAGGUCGAACGGCAGCAUGGAGAGCUUGCUCUCUGAUGGCGAGUGGCGAACGGGUGAGUAAAGCAUCGGAACGUACCGUGUAGUGGGGGAUAACGUAGCGAAAGUUACGCUAAUACCGCAUACGCACCGAGGUGGAAAGCAGGGGAUCGUAAGACCUUGCGCUAUACGAGCGGCCGAUGUCAGAUUAGCUAGUUGGUAGGGUAAAGGCCUACCAAGGCGACGAUCUGUAGCGGGUCUGAGAGGAUGAUCCGCCACACUGGGACGGAGACACGGCCCAGACUCCUACGGGAGGCAGCAGUGGGGAAUUUUGGACAAUGGGGGCAACCCUGAUCCAGCCAUGCCGCGUGAGUGAAGAAGGCCUUCGGGUUGUAAAGCUCUUUCGGCCGGGAAGAAAUCGCACAGGCUAAUACCCUGUGUGGAUGACGGUACCGGCAUAAGAAGCACCGGCUAACUACGUGCCAGCCGCCGCAGUAA
rnacentral:rRNA from 1 species